rnacentral:rRNA from 1 species
UCAGGCCUAACACAUGCAAGUCGAACGAGAUCUUCGGAUCUAGUGGCGCACGGGUGAGUAACGCGUGGGAACCUACCUUUUAGUACGGGACAACGUUUGGAAACGAACGCUAAUACCGUAUACGCCCUCCGGGGGAAAGGUCAGCCGCUGAAAGAGGGGCCCGCGUCUGAUUAGCUUGUUGGUAAGGUAACGGCUUACCAAGGCAACGAUCAGUAGCUGGUCUGAGAGGAUGAUCAGCCACACUGGGACUGAGACACGGCCCAGACUCCUACGGGAGGCAGCAGUGGGGAAUAUUGGACAAUGGAGGCAACUCUGAUCCAGCAAUGCCGCGUGUGUGAUGAAGGCCCUAGGGUUGUAAAGCACUUUCAACGGUGAAGAUGAUGACGGUAGCCGUAGAAGAAGCCCCGGCUAACUUCGUGCCAGCAGCCGCGGUAAUACGAAGGGGGCGAGCGUUAUUCGGAAUUAUUGGGCGUAAAGGGCUCGCAGGCUGCUUGAACAGUUAGACGUGAAAUCCCCGGGCUUAACCUGGGAACUGCGUUUAAUACUAGCAAGCUAGAGAAAUAGAGAGGAAAGUGGAACUCCCAGUGUAGAGGUGAAAUUCGUAGAUAUUGGGAAGAACACCAGUGGCGAAAGCGACUUUCUGGCUAUUUUCUGACGCUGAGGAGCGAAAGCGUGGGGAGCAAACAGGAUUAGAUACCCU